rnacentral:rRNA from 1 species
AUAAUAUACCCGAGAUUUCUUUUGUGGAUAACUGCGGUAAAUCUGGAGCUAAUACAUGUCACAAAAGCUAGGCUCGCUUAGCUGCAGGUAUUAUUGCAAACCAAUCGUUUUCGGACGUAGUUUGCUGACUCUGAAUACCCAGUAUAUCGACGGUUUAUCCGUCGAAAGCUCGGAAUAGUGUCUGCCCUAUCAACUACAUGGUAGUCUAUUAGACUACCAUGGUGAUAACGGGUAACGGAGAAUAAGGGUUCGGCUCCGGAGAGGGAGCCUUAGAAACGGCUACCACAUCCAAGGAAGGCAGCAGGCGCGUAACUUAUCCACUACCACAGUGAGAUAGUGACUAAAAAUAAAAAGUCCAAUCCUAACGGAUCGGAUAUUUCAAUGAAUUGAGCUUAAAUAGCUCUAUGAGGACCUAAUGGAGGGCAAGUCUGGUGCCAG